rnacentral:rRNA from 1 species
GAUGAACGCUAGCUACAGGCUUAACACAUGCAAGUCGAGGGACCGGCGCACGGGUGAGUAACACGUAUCCAACCUGCCCUUUACUCGCGGAUAGCCUUUCGAAAGAAAGAUUAAUACCCGAUGUAAAGGAUGGGGAUGCGUUCCAUUAGGUUGUUGGUGAGGUAACGUCUCACCAAGCCUUCGAUGGAUAGGGGUUCUGAGAGGAAGGUCCCCUACAUGGGAAACGAGACACGGUCCAAACUCCGACGGGAGGCAGCAGUGAGGAAUAGUGGUGAAUGGGCGUUAGCCUGAACCAGCCAAGUAGCGUGAAGGAUGAAGGGUUAUGGGUCGUAAACUUCUUGUAUAUAAGAAUAUGUAUUAUAUGAAUAAGGAUCGGCUAACUCCGUGCCAGCAGCCGCGGUAAUAC